rnacentral:rRNA from 1 species
UGGGGAAUAUUGCACAAUGGGCGCAAGCCUGAUGCAGCAACGCCGCGUGAACGAUGAAGGUCUUCGGAUCGUAAAGUUCUGUUGCAGGGGAAGAUAAUGACGGUACCCUGUGAGGAAGCCCCGGCUAACUACGUGCCAGCAGCCGCGGUAAUACGUAGGGGGCUAGCGUUAUCCGGAUUUACUGGGCGUAAAGGGUGCGUAGGUGGUCUUUCAAGUCGGUGGUUAAAGGCUACGGCUCAACCGUAGUUAGCCUCCGAAACUGGAAGACUUGAGUGCAGGAGAGGAAAGUGGAAUUCCCAGUGUAGCGGUGAAAUGCGUAGAUAUUAGGAGGAAUACCGGUGGCGAAGGCGGCUUUCUGGACUGCAACUGACACUGAGGCACGAAAGCGUGGGUAGCAAACAGG